UCUGGUUAUUUUAAACUUCCUCAAUAUGCUUUCCUGCUAUAGAAAAUACAAAGAUAAAUAGCUGUAACCUUAUAGAUUUUAUUUCCUGCAGCUCAGAUCGUCACAUCAUAUACAUGUCGUGCAUGUAAAUGUUGCAUGUUAAAUUCAGAAAUCACUGUAACAGUUCCUUUGUACACAACGUCAUAGAAAUUGGACAUUCCGUAACAAUCUUGAAAACAUAAACAGUGUGAAUUAAGAUGUCAGUUAAUGUGGAUAUCGAAACUUGUUGGUGUAAAAUUUAAAAUGAAACCUCUGGUAUCUUGAAACUACCACAGUCAAAAACCUAUGGGUAUUAAAAAGGAAAGUUAUCUUAUUCUGUGAAGCAUCAGACAACCUUGCUAGAAUUAUACAACCAUGCUAACAGAAGACAGUUUUAUUGCUACCCCUUGUUGUUUCCAGUUGGCAUUCUUUAUCUUCCUGUUUUCACUACCUGGGAAAUGGUAAAACAAGGAUUGUGUGGAAAAAGAACUGACCAACAUUUCAACCCAGGCUAGUUAUUGCUUAAGAAUAAGAUAUAUUGAUUAAAGGAGUAGCUGUCCUCAAUGGUGUUACAUGACAAGACACAGAGGGGCAAAGAUUAUGUCAAAAAUAAUACCACUAGUUAUUUUAUAUGAUGAAAAAUUCAUGAACACAGAUGAAAAAUCCCUUCCAUUAACUUUUUUGUUAUUACAAUAAUAAGUGCUAUAUAAAUGUAUCAUUUGUCCAUCAACUUCUCCAAAAAAAUAAAAAUAAUAAAUAAAUGCAAUAGUAAUGACACAAUUAAAUUCUUGUGAUUCUUGUAUCAAGUAACAUUCCAUAUCAAAAUAAUGCGCAGAUCUUGCACCAAAUAUAGGUGAUUAAAAAUCAAUAAAAGCCAAAAAGCCAGAAAAAAAAUCAAUGAACACACUGGGACCUUUUUCAUUUUUUACCUGUGUAGGUAAAAAUCAUAACAUCCUUACAACAGUUUGAUCAAGUUGCUCCCCCCCCC